UGCCUGCUGCAGAGAAGCCUGCCACAUAGCAGGAGAGCAAGCUGUCCCAUGUUGUUGGUAGGGUCACGGUCCUGCAGAAGGCAUACAGCAAGCUGCUACAGUGAUGGAGGGGUCUGAAUGGCAUAACCACCCCCACCCAGGCCAGCAGUAAGUGCCAACUUCACCAGCAAGAAUGUGCUCUCUGGAACUGAAUGGAAAACCCCUCUACACUCUCCACAAUAACCUGGUCUCCACUGAACGGGGGACCUCAGAGUCAUGCCUGGAAAUGCAGAUCCUUCCAAACAACAAAAAGAAUGCUGACAUUUCCAUAUCCAGUCUUCUGUACAUCCUGCCUGCCAGAUCCAGGAAAAGGUGGAUUCAGAAAUGCAUACGGAAGCAUAACACUGACCAAUGCCCAGAGAGCUAGACAUGUGCAAACCUCAAAAUUAGGGGCAGUUUCCAUGGAUUCAGAUCACACACUGCUUGUUAAACAAUCUCACUAACUCUAUGGACAAUAAAAAAAUACAAGGAAACUGAUUGUUACAUUUGUUAAAAAGGGUCAAACAGUGGGAAAUGGGUCUGUAAACUUAAGUCUGGUGUUUACUUUGUCUAUAAAAGUAGCACCUGCCAAGUAAAUUAAGGGUAAC
rnacentral:lncRNA from 1 species